rnacentral:lncRNA from 1 species
GGAUUCUGCAGUGACUGUCUUUCUUUUUUUAAUAAGAUAUUUGUCCAUGAUUUCCAAUUUUGGAUCGUCAACAACUUUUUACAAAUUUAUAAUACCAAUGACGGGCGACAAUGUAUGUUUCCGUAAAAAAGCUUCAAAGAAAAAGACGAUGAUCUAGUAUUUUCUUAUUUGAAAUAAAACUAAGUGUCAAGUACAUGAAAAUAUUUCAUAUUUUUUUUUUUUUUUUGCCAAAAAAAACUAGUGAGGCAGUUGCCUCAUUGCCUCAAUGGAAGCUACGCCACUGA